ACGAACGCUGGCGGCGUGCUUAACACAUGCAAGUCGAACGUGAUUUUUGUGGAAAUUCUUUCGGGAAUGGAAAUGAAAUGAAAGUGGCGAACGGGUGAGUAACACGUGAGCAACCUACCUUACACAGGGGGAUAGCCGUUGGAAACGACGAUUAAUACCGCAUGAGACCACAGAAUCGCAUGAUAUAGGGGUCAAAGAUUUAUCGGUGUAAGAAGGGCUCGCGUCUGAUUAGCUAGUUGGAAGGGUAAAGGCCUACCAAGGCGACGAUAAGUAGCCGGUCUGAGAGGAUGAACGGCCACAUUGGAACUGAGACACGGUCCAAACUCCUACGGGAGGCAGCAGUGGGGAAUAUUGCACAAUGGGGGGAACCCUGAUGCAGCGACGCCGCGUGAGCGAAGAAGGUUUUCGAAUCGUAAACCUCUGUCCUAUGAGAAGAUAAUGACGGUAUCAUAGGAGGAAGCCCCGGCUAAAUACGUG
rnacentral:rRNA from 1 species